rnacentral:tRNA from 1 species
CGGGCGGUGCUGGAGGCGGCGGUCACCGGGUCGCGGGCGGUGGCCGUGCGCGCGAUGGCUUCCCACCCGCUGAUCGACUCGGUGCCGGUCGC